rnacentral:rRNA from 1 species
AGGCCUAACACAUGCAAGUCGAACGCUGUAGCAAUACAGAGUGGCAGACGGGUGAGUAACGCGUGGGAACAUGCCCUUCGGUUCGGAAUAACUCAGGGAAACUUGAGCUAAUACCGGAUACGCCCUUAGGGGGAAAGAUUUAUUGCCGAAGGAUUGGCCCGCGUCCGAUUAGCUAGUUGGUGUGGUAAUGGCGCACCAAGGCGACGAUCGGUAGCUGGUCUGAGAGGAUGAUCAGCCACACUGGGACUGAGACACGGCCCAGACUCCUACGGGAGGCAGCAGUGGGGAAUAUUGGACAAUGGGCGCAAGCCUGAUCCAGCCAUGCCGCGUGAGUGAUGAAGGCCCUAGGGUUGUAAAGCUCUUUCGCCAGGGACGAUAAUGACGGUACCUGGAUAAGAAGCCCCGGCUAACUUCGUGCCAGCAGCCGCGGUAAUACGAAGGGGGCUAGCGUUGUUCGGAAUCACUGGGCGUAAAGCGCACGUAGGCGGAUCUUUAAGUCAGGGGUGAAAUCCCGAGGCUCAACCUCGGAACUGCCUUUGAUACUGGAGGUCUCGAGUCCGGGAGAGGUGAGUGGAACUGCGAGUGUAGAGGUGAAAUUCGUAGAUAUUCGCAAGAACACCAGUGGCGAAGGCGGCUCACUGGCCCGGAACUGACGCUGAGGUGCGAAAGCGUGGGGAGCAAAC